AGUAUAAAUGGAGCAGGUAUCAGGCUCAUACACUAGCCCAAGACACCAAGCUAUGCCACACCCACACGGGCCCCCAGCAGUGAUAAACAUUAAGCAAUAAGCGAACACAAACUUCAAAGCUUGACUUAGUUAUGAUUAACAGGGCCGGUAAACCUCGUGCCAGCCACCGCGGUUAUACGAGAGGCCCGAAGCAGCAAACCUCGGCGUAAAUAGUGGCCAGAAUAACUACCAAUACGUUAAAAACUAAACUCUAGCCUAACCGUAAAACACAGGCUAGAUGAAACCAAACACUUUUAACAACAGGUAAUUUGACCCACGAAAACUAAGAAACAAACUAGGAUUAGAUACCCUACUAUGCUUAGUCGUUAAUAUGAUAUUAUACCACUAAAAUAUCCGCCAGAAGACUACGAGCGAAAAGCUUAAAACUCAAAGGACUUGGCGGUGCUCCACACCGACUUAGAGGAGCCUGUCCUAUAAUCGAUACCCCACGCUAAACCUCACCAAUCUUUGCCAAAUCAGCCUAUAUACCGCCGUCGACAACCUACCUCAUGAGAGAAAAACAGUAAGUACAAAAGUUCGACAACUAAAACGUCAGGUCAAGGUGUAGCUAAUAGAAUGGAAGCGAUGGGCUACAUUUUUUAAGAUAAAACACACGGCAUGGUACUAUGAAACUUCUACCUGAAGGAGGAUUUAAUAGUAAAACUAACAAGAAAGUUAAUUUUAAAU
rnacentral:rRNA from 1 species